rnacentral:misc_RNA from 1 species
GUGGGAGGGGGCUUGCUCCCGAUGGCGGCGGGUCAGUCAGUACAUCUGGCACUGACCCACUGCCAUCGGGAGCAAGCCCCCUCCCAC